rnacentral:rRNA from 1 species
AGCGAAGCUUUUCAGUAGUUUACUACAGAAAAUGACUGAGCGGCGAACGGGUGAGUAACGCGUGAGCAACCUACCUUAGUUACUGGGAUAGCCCGAGGAAACUCGGAUUAAUACCGGAUAUUCUUAUUUAAUCACAUGAUUAUUUAAGGAAAGGUCAGCCGAACUAAGAUGGGCUCGCGUUCUAUCAGCUAGUUGGUAGGGUAAUGGCCUACCAAGGCUACGACGGAUAGCUGGUCUGAGAGGACGAUCAGCCACACUGGGACUGAGACACGGCCCAGACUCCUACGGGAGGCUGCAGCAGGGAAUAUUGCGCAAUGAGCGAAAGCUUGACGCAGCGACACCGCGUGUGGGAUGACGGAUCUAGGUUUGUAAACCACUUUCAGGAGGGAAGAAAAUGACGGUACCUCCACAAGAAGCCCCGGCCAACUACGUGCCAGCAGCCGCGGUAAUACGUAGGGGGCGAGCGUUGUCCGGAUUUAUUGGGCGUAAAGAGCUCGUAGGCGGUUCAACAAGUCGGUCGUGAAAGUUCAGGGCUCAACCCUGAAAUGUCGAUCGAUACUGUUGUGACUAGGAUACGGUAGAGGUGAGUGGAAUUCCGAGUGUAGCGGUGAAAUGCGUAGAUAUUCGGAGGAACACCAAUUGCGAAGGCAGCUCACUGGGCCGCUAUCGAC